rnacentral:rRNA from 1 species
UGGGGAAUUUUGGACAAUGGGGGCAACCCUGAUCCAGCAAUGCCGCGUGUGUGAAGAAGGCCUUCGGGUUGUAAAGCACUUUUGUCCGGAAAGAAAACGCCGUGGUUAAUACCCGUGGCGGAUGACGGUACCGGAAGAAUAAGCACCGGCUAACUACGUGCCAGCAGCCGCGGUAAUACGUAGGGUGCAAGCGUUAAUCGGAAUUACUGGGCGUAAAGCGUGCGCAGGCGGUCCGCUAAGACAGAUGUGAAAUCCCCCGGGCUUAACCUGGGAACUGCAUUUGUGACUGGCGGGCUAGAGUAUGGCAGAGGGGGGUAGAAUUCCACGUGUAGCAGUGAAAUGCGUAGAGAUGUGGAGGAAUACCGAUGGCGAAGGCAGCCCCCUGGGCCAAUACUGACGCUCAUGCACGAAAGCGUGGGGAGCAAACAGGAUUAGAUACCCUGGUAGUCCACGCCCUAAACGAUGUCAACUAGUUGUCGGGUCUUCAUUGACUUGGUAACGUAGCUAACGCGUGAAGUUGACCGCCUGGGGAGUACGGUCGCAAGA